AGCCCUCUGGUUUCUUACGCAUCAGCUCUAAACACUGGUCUGAGUGGUUAUACAAGGAAAAGUACACUGAAACGGGCUUAAAAUCUUUUGACAUGAGUGUGUUUCAAACAAAA
rnacentral:snoRNA from 1 species